rnacentral:rRNA from 1 species
AUUGAACGCUGGCGGCAGGCCUAACACAUGCAAGUCGAGCGAGCGGCGGACGGGUGAGUAAUGUCUGGGAAACUGCCUGAUGGAGGGGGAUAACUACUGGAAACGGUAGCUAACACCGCAUACCAUCAGAUGUGCCCAGAUGGGAUUAGCUAGUAGGUGGGGUAAUGGCCCACCUAGGCGACGAUCCCUAGCUGGUCUGAGAGGAUGACCAGCCACACUGGAACAGAGACACGGUCCAGACUCCUACGGGAGGGAGCAGUGGGGAACAUUGCACAAUGGGAGCGAGCCUGAUGCAGCCAUGCCGAGUGUGUGAAAAAGGCCUUCGGGUUGUAAAGCGUUUUCAGCGGGGAUGCGUUACCCGCGGAAGAAGCACCGGCUAGCUCCGUGCCAGCAGCCGCGGUAAUUC